UACGGGAGGCAGCAGUGGGGGAAUUUUGGACAAUGGGGAAACCCUGAUCCAGCCAUCCCGCGUGUGCGAUAAAGAAGGCCUUCCCGGGUUGUAAAGCACUUUUGGCAGGAAAGAAACGGCCGCAGGAUAAUACCCAUGCAACUGACGGUACCUGCAGAAUAAGCACCGGCUAACUACGUGCCAGCAGCCGCGGUAAUACAUGGGGUGCAAGCGUUAAUCGGAAUUACUGGGCGUAAAGCGUGCGCAGGCGGUUCGGUAAAGAAAGAUGUGAAAUCCCAGAGCUUAACUUUGGAACUGCAUUUUUAACUACCGAGCUAGAGUGUGUCAGAGGAGGUGGAAUUCCGUGUCGCAGUGAAAUGCGUAUAUGCGGAGGAACACCGAUGGCGAGGCAGCCUCCUGGGAUAACACUACAGUACGCUCAUGCCGAAAGCGUGGGAGCAAACAGGAUUAGAUACCCGUGUAGU
rnacentral:misc_RNA from 1 species